rnacentral:piRNA from 1 species
UAAAAAUAAAAGAUUAACUGGUGA